ensembl:lncRNA
CGGCAGGUCCUUGAUGGUUAUCCAUUUUAAAUAUAGCAGUGUACACAUGUCCAUCCCAAGCUCCUUAACUAUCCUUGCCCCCCAACCUCCCCCUCCCACCCACGCCAUUCCCCUGGAAACCAUUAGUUCAUUCUCUAAGCCUGUGAGUCUCUUUCUGUUUUGUAAGUGAGUUCAUUUGUAUAAUUUCUUUUUCGAUUCUGCGUAUAAGGGAUGUCAUAGGAUAUUUCUCCUUCUCUGACUUACUUCCCUCAGUAUCUUUUGCACCUGCUGUGGGAUGGCUUCUGGGAGGAAGGCUGGGCAGAUGAGGGUCAUGUGAUUUUUGUUUUCCUAUAUUGGAAAGCAGUGCUGUUUGGAAAGGGAUUAUUAUGUAUUAUUUCUAUACUUUUUUGGUGUGUCCCCACAGUACAGAGUAAGGUAGAUAUUGGAUCAAUACAAAGCAUCACUUUCUAGCAAAGCAUUUUGAUUAAAAACAUGGCUUGAAGCCCAGAUCUAGCACCUACUAGCUGGGGAGUCUCAGGAAAAUUUACUUCUGUGGGCCUCAGUCUCUUCAACAGGAAAAUGGGAGAACUGUAAUGAAGCUUCAUAACCUCACACUCUGAAGAUUUAAAGGAGGGUGUAGAAGAAUAUGAGUAGUACAUGGUUAGGGCAAUUCAGUGAAGAGUGGGCAUUAUUGCUAGGACAUAUGAUAGCAAGGGUAGCAAUAGGAAGAAAAAUUAGUUGUACUAUAAAAUCAAACUGGUCUACAGUGGGAUGGGACAGUUGGGAGGUAGUGAGUGCAUCAUUAAGCUUGGAGAUUUUGGCAACAGCUGGGAGGCUGCCUUCUUUUCAGGAGUGCUGUCUGGAGAUAUCUGGGUGAGAUUUAGAAAUCACCACUGAGUAGAUUCAGUGAUCCGCAAACUUGGCUGUCCCAUCUAAACCAUCUCUAAAAAUAACAGUUGUUUUUGAAAAUAUUCACUGCAAGUAACUCAAGCAACACUGGUGUUCAGAGAAGAAUUUUAAAAAUAAUUCAUAAUCUCACAACCUCAAAAUAACCUUCUUGAACAGGAGGAGAAAAAUCACUAAAGAAUCUUUCUAUGGGUAUAUACAGCUAGAAGGAUGCAUAGAUCAUAGAUUGGCAGGAAUAAUUUUAGAAUAAUAGGAUCAUCCUGAUGUUAACAGAGUAUUAAUUUCUUUGGCUUAAUUUUCCAAUAGGGCACAUUGGAAGGAAAUGUUGAGCUCUGGAUAAAUGUUUCUCCAUUGAAACAGAUAAUUUUCUAAAAGAUCUCACUAAGGUAAUGAAAAAUUUUAAGAGGUGGGAGUCAUUACUUUCUUAUUUUAUAAAAUUUUACUGAAGUAUACAGUUGAUUUACAAUGUUGCGUUAAUUUCUGCUGCACAGAGUGACUCACUCUCUGUUAACUGUUUAGAAUUUUAGACUUUUGAGUCCAUACCAUUAAACGAUGAAGAAAUCAGCACUCAUAUUCUUUUUAUUUUUCUUUCUAGCAUUCAUAUUCUUCAUCUUACCUUCUGCCUCUGGCUUAUUUUAGUAAGAGUAUUGCUUUUAUGUUGUUAAGAUUGAUGAUAUUUAAUAAGUUCCAAAGUUGUUUGGUCUCGAGCCUUUCCCCUAUGUAGGAAUCCAGUUUUCACAUGUAUUAUUUCUGUCUCCAAUUUGUUCAGCAAUCUGAAGUGCUGUUAUUUUGGUCUUCAGUUUGUUUUCUUUGAUCUAACUUCUUUGUCGUCCAACUUUCUUGUGUUAUUGAACAUAUAUUCUGAUUAAUGUCUGCUGCAGUAUUAAACACUAGUUGGAAGUUUCCUGUUUCUUUGGUUCUGUUUUUAUCAAGACAGGAUUCUUCAUCUUCUGUAUGCUUUAUCCCAUAUUUUUCACCGGUAGUAUCUGUAUACAUACAAGUACCAUGAUAUUUUUUAACUUGCUUAUGCUGAACUUGGGUAGCAUUGUCUGAUCCUUCUAAUUGCUCUGAUCCUGUGGGCAAACGCUUUAUGACUCUUUUUGGAGCUUACUCAAAGUCUCUGCCUUGGUGUCUGAGCUGUAGUUUGAGAUGACUUCCGAUGUCCGCUGUAGGGAACGUGGGAAUCUGGGAGGGUCAGGGCUCAGAGCUGCGUGUUCUUUUGGGUAGGGCUGCAUGCUGCUCUCCUGACAGUUUGCUAAGUGUCCUGUUCCAGGGUUCCUUCCGCCCAUGGGGGAUGUACCGUCUUCCAUGGGGAGAUGCCCUUGACAUUUAGAUGAUCUCCUUAGUUAGGCAUUGAGCCCUGGAGUCUGCACUUCUAUGAGAGAGACAGAGGGAGGGACCCCAGCGCUCCAUAGCACUGCUUUACAGCCCUCUUCCUAGCAGUUCUGAUUAGUCGCCUCAACUUUUUCCAUAUCAAGUCAGAAAAGGGGAAAAACAGCAAUGUAGACAGGCUAUGGUUUUUCCAGUGGUCAUGUAUGGAUGUGAGAGUUGGA